GCCUUCGUGGUGUAACGGUAACACACUCGGCGCGUAUUCGAUAGGUCCAGGUUCGAGUCCCGGAGAGGGUA
rnacentral:tRNA from 1 species